GGAGGGGUGGUCGAGUGGUUGAUGGCUCCGGUCUUGAAAACCGGCAAGGCGCAAGCCUUCGUGGGUUCGAAUCCCACCCCCUCCG
rnacentral:tRNA from 1 species